GAAGACUCACAGCCCUUCUUCGGGUGCGACGUCGUCACUGUGACGAAUACGACAGUUCCAUGCCGGUCGACAGCUGCCAGGACCGUGGUGACGGUGAUGGUGACCACCGCGAGUCCCUGUCUUCCUUGUCUUCCCGGCUGAGGACCAAGGCGUUGAUCUGCCUGCUCGUGCCCUUCUGCAUGGUGCUCGUCAUCACUGUCGUCAUCGGCGCUCUCAUGUCCAUGACGACCCGAUGAAAGACUCGGCAACGAGACCUCGCCGCGUGGCUCCUUCCGAGGGAAACGACCAGAUGCGACGCGAUCUUGUCGACUUUCACGGGACUUCGUCGACUCUGUGAGAAACAUGGCGGUGCACACGCGGGGUCGGGACGUUCGCGGAGAGGGUGGACGACUCGUUGUGAAGUCGUGUCAGUCAGGUGAUUCCGCCAGGUGCCUCAUCAUGCUGACCGACCGCAGGAGUUCUUGUCGACCCGACCAGACGAUCCGGGACAGUUGGUAAAAGGGGCGUGAGUGUCAGCUAGCGAACGACGAGAAUAGAAUUCCAUGAGCCCUUCUGCCUGUGUCGUUGCUGCACGGUGUUGGUAGCCUAUUGCAACGCACAUAUUCACGCAUAAUCCCCUUUUCAGAUUUGUUCGCAAAUACUGGAAUGGCUUAUUUGUCUAACGCUUCGGAACUUGCGUAAUCACCAUAGUUCUCGAAUCAAUCACAGCUCCAAUAAAAAUAUGCCACGUAGA